rnacentral:rRNA from 1 species
GGAGUGAAAAAGAACCUGAAACCGUGUACGUACAAGCAGUGGGAGCACAGAGCAAUCUGUGUGACUGCGUACCUUUUGUAUAAUGGGUCAGCGACUUAUAUUCUGUAGCAAGGUUAACCGAAUAGGGGAGCCGAAGGGAAACCGAGUCUUAACUGGGCGUUAAGUUGCAGGGUAUAGACCCGAAACCCGGUGAUCUAGCCAUGGGCAGGUUGAAGGUUGGGUAACACUAACUGGAGGACCGAACCGACUAAUGUUGAAAAAUUAGCGGAUGACUUGUGGCUGGGGGUGAAAGGCCAAUCAAACCGGGAGAUAGCUGGUUCUCCCCGAAAGCUAUUUAGGUAGCGCCUCGUGAAUUCAUCUCCGGGGGUAGAGCACUGUUUCGGCAAGGGGGUCAUCCCGACUUACCAACCCGAUGCAAACUGCGAAUACCGGAGAAUGUUAUCACGGGAGACACACGGCGGGUGCUAACGUCCGUCGUGAAGAGGGAAACAACCCAGACCGCCAGCUAAGGUCCCAAAGUCAUGGUUAAGUGGGAAACGAUGUGGGAAGGCCCAGACAGCCAGGAUGUUGGCUUAGAAGCAGCCAUCAUUUAAAGAAAGCGUAAUAGCUCACUGGUCGAGUCGGCCUGCGCGGAAGAUGUAACGGGGCUAAACCAUGCACCGAAGCUGCGGCAGCGACACUGUGUGUUGUUGGGUAGGGGAGCGUUCUGUAAGCCUGUGAAGGUGUGCUGUGAGGCAUGCUGGAGGUAUCAGAAGUGCGAAUGCUGACAUAAGUAACGAUAAAGCGGGUGAAAAGCCCGCUCGCCGGAAGACCAAGGGUUCCUGUCCAACGUUAAUCGGGGCAGGGUGAGUCGACCCCUAAGGCGAGGCCGAAAGGCGUAGUCGAUGGGAAACAGGUUAAUAUUCCUGUACUUGGUGUUACUGCGAAGGGGGGACGGAGAAGGCUAUGUUGGCCGGGCGACGGUUGUCCCGGUUUAAGCGUGUAGGCUGGUUUUCCAGGCAAAUCCGGAAAAUCAAGGCUGAGGCGUGAUGACGAGGCACUACGGUGCUGAAGCAACAAAUGCCCUGCUUCCAGGAAAAGCCUCUAAGCAUCAGGUAACAUCAAAUCGUACCCCAAACCGACACAGGUGGUCAGGUAGAGAAUACCAAGGCGCUUGAGAGAACUCGGGUGAAGGAACUAGGCAAAAUGGUGCCGUAACUUCGGGAGAAGGCACGCUGAUAUGUAGGUGAAGUCCCUCGCGGAUGGAGCUGAAAUCAGUCGAAGAUACCAGCUGGCUGCAACUGUUUAUUAAAAACACAGCACUGUGCAAACACGAAAGUGGACGUAUACGGUGUGACGCCUGCCCGGUGCCGGAAGGUUAAUUGAUGGGGUCAGCGCAAGCGAAGCUCUUGAUCGAAGCCCCGGUAAACGGCGGCCGUAACUAUAACGGUCCUAAGGUAGCGAAAUUCCUUGUCGGGUAAGUUCCGACCUGCACGAAUGGCGUAAUGAUGGCCAGGCUGUCUCCACCCGAGACUCAGUGAAAUUGAACUCGCUGUGAAGAUGCAGUGUACCCGCGGCAAGACGGAAAGACCCCGUGAACCUUUACUAUAGCUUGACACUGAACAUUGAGCCUUGAUGUGUAGGAUAGGUGGGAGGCUUUGAAGUGUGGACGCCAGUCUGCAUGGAGCCGACCUUGAAAUACCACCCUUUAAUGUUUGAUGUUCUAACGUGGACCCGUGAUCCGGGUUGCGGACAGUGUCUGGUGGGUAGUUUGACUGGGGCGGUCUCCUCCUAAAGAGUAACGGAGGAGCACGAAGGUUGGCUAAUCCUGGUCGGACAUCAGGAGGUUAGUGCAAUGGCAUAAGCCAGCUUGACUGCGAGCGUGACGGCGCGAGCAGGUGCGAAAGCAGGUCAUAGUGAUCCGGUGGUUCUGAAUGGAAGGGCCAUCGCUCAACGGAUAAAAGGUACUCCGGGGAUAACAGGCUGAUACCGCCCAAGAGUUCAUAUCGACGGCGGUGUUUGGCACCUCGAUGUCGGCUCAUCACAUCCUGGGGCUGAAGUAGGUCCCAAGGGUAUGGCUGUUCGCCAUUUAAAGUGGUACGCGAGCUGGGUUUAGAACGUCGUGAGACAGUUCGGUCCCUAUCUGCCGUGGGCGCUGGAGAACUGAGGGGGGCUGCUCCUAGUACGAGAGGACCGGAGUGGACGCAUCACUGGUGUUCGGGUUGUCAUGCCAAUGGCACUGCCCGGUAGCUAAAUGCGGAAGAGAUAAGUGCUGAAAGCAUCUAAGCACGAAACUUGCCCCGAGAUGAGUUCUCCCUGACCCUUUAAGGGUCCUGAAGGAACGUUGAAGACGACGACGUUGAUAGGCCGGGUGUGUAAGCGCAGCGAUGCGUUGAGCUAACCGGUACUAAUGAACCGUGAGGCUUAACCUUACAACGCCGAAGGUGUUU